UAUUGGACAAUGGGGGAAACCCUGAUCCAGCCAUGCCGCGUGUGGGAAGAAGGCCUUUUGGUUGUAAAGCACUUUAAGCAGGGAAGAAGACCUAACGGUUAAUACCCGUUAGCGAGGACAUUAGCUGCAGAAUAAGCACCGGCUACCUCUGUGCCAGCAGCCGCGGUAAUACAGAGGGUGCAAGCGUUAAUCGGAAUUACUGGGCGUAAAGCGAGCGUAGGUGGCUUGAUAAGUCAGAUGUGAAAUCCCCGGGCUUAACCUGGGAACUGCAUCUGAAACUGUUAGGCUAGAGUAGGUGAGAGGGAAGUAGAAUUUCAGGUGUAGCGGUGAAAUGCGUAGAGAUCUGAAGGAAUACCGAUGGCGAAGGCAGCUUCCUGGCAUCAUACUGACACUGAGGCUCGAAAGCGUGGGUAGCAAACAG
rnacentral:rRNA from 1 species